AUACGGAGGGUGCAAGCGUUACUCGGAAUCACUGGGCGUAAAGCGCGCGCAGGCGGCUUGAUAAGUUGGAUGUGAAAGCCUACGGCUCAACCGUAGAACUGCAUCCAAAACUGUCAGGCUAGAGAGUGGGAGAGGAAGAUGGAAUUAGUUGUGUAGGGGUAAAAUCCGUAGAGAUAACUAGGAAUACCAAAAGCGAAGGCAAUCUUCUGGAACACUACUGACGCUGAGGCGCGAAGGCGUGGGGAGCAAACAGGAUUAGAAACCCCUGUAGUCC
rnacentral:rRNA from 1 species